CCAGGGGGCUGGGCAGCCGCGUCGGAGCUUUUGCUUCGCCGAGGAAAGUCCGGGCUCCACGAAACAAGGGUGGCGGGUAACGCCCGCCGGCUUCCCUUCGGGGGAGCAAGGGAUAGUGCCACAGAGAGCAGACCGCCAACCGGCUCGUCCGGAAGGUAAGGGUGAAAGGGUGCGGUAAGAGCGCACCGCAUGUCCGGCAACGGAGAUGGCAAGGUAAACCCCACCCGGAGCAAAACCGAAUAGGGGCGCCGUGCCGGCUUGAUCGGCGGGUCUGUUUCGGACCCAGGACGCCCGGGUUGGUUGCUGGAGCGGCGCAGCAAUGCGUCGCCGAGAUGAAUGGCUGCCCUUGCGGAUACGGUCCGGUUAAUCGGAUACCGUCCGCGAGACAAAACCCGGCUUACAGGCCCCCUGGCAUA
rnacentral:RNase_P_RNA from 1 species